CUCAGGACGAACGCUGGCGGCGUGCCUAACACAUGCAAGUCGAACGGACGAAGGGAGCUUGCUCCCUUAGUUAGUGGCGAACGGGUGAGUAACGCGUGAGCAACCUGCCUUUCAGAGGGGGACAACGGUUGGAAACGACCGCUAAUACCGCAUGAAGCAUCGAGGUCGCAUGGCCCUGAUGUUAAAGAUUUAUCGCUGAAAGAUGGGCUCGCGUCUGAUUAGAUAGUUGCGGGGUAACGGCCCACCAAGUCGACGAUCAGUAGCCGGACUGAGAGGUUGAACGGCCACAUUGGGACUGAGAUACGGCCCAGACUCCUACGGGAGGCAGCAGUGGGGAAUAUUGGGACCAAUGGGGGAAACCCUGACCCAGCAACGCCGCGUGAAGGAAGAAGGCUUUCGGGUUGUAAACUUCUUUUACCAGGGACGAAGGACGUGACGGUACCUGGAGAAAAAGCCACGGCUAACUACGUGCCAGCCGCCGC
rnacentral:rRNA from 1 species